rnacentral:rRNA from 1 species
CGGCAAUUCUCGACUACCAUGCCAAACUGUGGUAUUCUACAGCUAAUACAUGCACCACAGCUCCGACCUUACGGGAAGAGCGCGUUUAUUCGAACAAAACCAAGCGGCUUCGGCCGUCCGCAGUUGACUCAGAAUAACUAAGCUGAUCGCAUGGUCUUGAACCGGCGACGUGUCUUUCAAGUAUCUGCCUUAUCAACUUUCGAUGGUAGUGUAUCUGACUACCAUGGUGGUGACGGGUAACGGAGGAUAAGGGUUCGACUCCGGAGAAGGGGCCUGAGAAAUGGCCACUACGUCUAAGGAUGGCAGCAGGCGCGCAAAUUACCCACUCUCAGAAUGAGGAGGUAGUGACGAGAAAUAACGAGACCGUUCUCUACGAGGCCGGUCAUCGGAAUGGGUACAAUUUAAACCCUUUAACGAGUAUCUAUGAGAGGGCAAGUCUGGUGCCAGCAGCCGCGGUAAUUCCAGCUCUCAAAAUGCAUAGAAUUAUUGCUGCGGUUAAAAAGCUCGUAGUUGGAUCUGUGCCGGUGGACCCGGUCCACUCGAAAGGGUGCGCACUGGGCUCCCCGGCUUUCUGCCGGUUUUCCCGUCGUGGCCUUAACUGGUUGCGGCGGGUGGCUGGCGAUUUUACUUUGAACAAAUCAGAGUGCUUAAAACAGGCGUUUCGCUUGAAUGUUCGUGCAUGGAAUAAUAGAAAAGGAUUUCGGUUCUAUUUUAUUGGUUUUAUAGACUGAGAUAAUGGUUAACAGAGACAAACGGGGGCAUUCGUAUUGCUGCGUGAGAGGUGAAAUUCUUGGACCGCAGCAAGACGAACUACAGCGAAAGCAUUUGCCAAGAAUGUCUUCAUUAAUCAAGAACGAAAGUCAGAGGUUCGAAAGCGAUAGAAUUCCCCCCCCA